rnacentral:tRNA from 1 species
ACCUGGCUGGCUCAGUCAGUAGAGCACAUGACUCCUGAUCUUGGGGUGGUGAGAUCAAGUCCCACACUGGGCA